GAUUCAUAAUAACUUCUCGAAUCGCACGGCCUUGCGCCGGCGAUGGUUCAUUCAAAUUUCUGCCCUAUCAACUUUCGACGGCUGGGUCUUGGCCAGCCGUGGUGACAACGGGUAACGGAGGGUUAGGGCUCGACCCCGGAGAAGGAGCCUGAGAAACGGCUACUACAUCCAAGGAAGGCAGCAGGCGCGCAAAUUACCCAAUCCCGACACGGGGAGGUAGUGACAAUAAAUACUGAUACAGGGCUCUUUCGGGUCUUGUAAUUGGAAUGAGUACAAUUUAAAUCCCUUAACGAGGAACAAUUGGAGGGCAAGUCUGGUGCCAGCAGCCGCGGUAAUUCCAGCUCCAAUAGCGUAUAUUAAAGUUGUUGAGGUUAAAAAGCUCGUAGUUGAACCUUGGGCCUAGCCGGCCGGUCCGCCUCACCGCGUGCACUGGCUCGGCUGGGUCUUUCCUUCUGGAGAACCGCAUGCCCUUCACUGGGUGUGCCGGGGAACCAGGACUUUUAC
rnacentral:rRNA from 1 species